UCCCUGGUGGUCCAGAGGUUAGGACUUGGUGCUUUCACUGCCAUGCCCUGGGUUCAAUCCUUGGUCAAGGAA
rnacentral:tRNA from 1 species